GGCGAAAUGAAAUGUGACUAAGCUCGAAUUUGGUACUUGUGUUCAAUGUACGAAGAAAACCCAAAUAAGGUAAGACAGUGAUUAGUAAGAGUCCAAACGCUGUAUAAUAAGAAUACCUGCAACCCUGAUGUAACGUCAUCCCAAAACUUUGUUAUGGACAUAUCGAUGGAAUUAUUUGCACGCGUGUUAAAUCCCUUCACUUAAACGAUAAUUGGAGCAUUCCCACUCCUACGCUCCGCUUCAGUGAAAUUGUGGAAAAGUCAUCCCCAUUACUUGA
rnacentral:misc_RNA from 1 species